rnacentral:rRNA from 1 species
GACAGAGGGUGCAAACGUUGUUCGGAAUUACUGGGCGUAAAGCGCGUGUAGGCGGGCGUUCAAGUCAGGUGUGAAAUCCCCGGGCUCAACCCGGGAACUGCAUCUGAAACUGGAUGCCUCGAGUGUCGGAGAGGGAAGCGGAAUUCCUGGUGUAGAGGUGAAAUUCGUAGAUAUCAGGAGGAACACCGGUGGCGAAGGCGGCUUCCUGGACGACUACUGACGCUGAGACGCGAAAGCGUGGGGAGCAAACAGG